AUGAAGCUGUGUGGUACUGAAUCAGAACAAAUGCUCUGCACGAAGUCAGAGGCAGUUUUAUGAAAACUUUAGCUAAAUCAGCUGGGCCUUCAAAAAGAAGAUAUGAAUGUGUAAAAUUUGAUUAUUCUAAUAGAAAAAUGAACUAUGGAUGUCUUUGGUGCUGAAGAUGCCUAAUGCACUGACUGCUAGUAGUUGAACUUUAUUGUAAGGAAGGUCCUUUAUUAGCUAUUUUCAAAAAGAUUUGUAAUGGAGACAAAUAAAUAAAUUAAAUAAACAGUUUUUACUGGAUGGGCCGUUCUGGCAUUCUUACUAGUAUAGAUACAACACACAAACCUAGCUUUCCAUUAUAAAAUGUCCAUUUUGUAAUGAAUCAGCCUCCUGGCACAAUUAUAUUAACAGAUCAUGUGACUGAAGAGCAAUUCAUUUAAAAUUCUACAGUAAAAUUCAUUCAUUUAUAUUGUGAGCAUAGAGUAAGUCAAUAUGAACUGAUCAGAGAUAUUUGAGAUUUGAAAUAUCCAUUUUAUUUCAGCAGUAAGAUGAAGUAAAAUAUUAAUAUUUUGGUGUCAGGGGCUCCCUCUGUGAAAUGAUUCAUUUAUACUUUUUUAUGAUAAUAAAUGAAAAUAAUUACGAAAAUAAUUCAGUAACAGCAGCACUCUUUCCCUUCCGGCCAGUUUCCGUUAGCGCGUGCUACAGAUGCAGUUUCUGAUUGGUUCUCUCAUAUGGCCAAUCCGAUUAAAGAAUACGCUGAGCGUAACGUGUUACCACGUAGAUUUAGAAAAUGCAGCAUUCACACCGUUUAUUUAAGAAGCCGAUAUGCACAAGGAGCUAUCAAAAACGAAAGUGAACAGAUCUCCACCAGUGAACAGAAUCAUGGUGAACUUCAGAGCUUCUUCUCCAAAGUUCUCCUGAAUCCACUUCACAGCAUUGCGCUCCUCCACCGUGAAUCUUCCCAGUCUGAUUACCAGAAGGAACACAUGAGGAACAGGAGAAGACAUGGAGAUACAUUCAUGUGCACUGUGGGCUGCUUGGUUAGAUAUUAGCCACGUGUCCAUGACACCCGGAGUGUCAAUUAUGGUGAUGUUUCUUCCAUCCAAGACUUUGUUCUUCUUCAUACAGCUUGCAGUCACAGAUGCAGGAGACGCCUCGACUCUAAAGGCCUCUUCACCCAGGAUGGUGUUUCCUGAUGCACUCUUUCCUGCUCCAGUUUUCCCCACCAACAUCAGUCUAAGCUCAGGAUGGUUCAUGUCAUGCCCUAUAAAAGAAAACAUAACUUGUAGACUUCAAACAAUACUGUGAAUAAAAAAGAUGUAUAUUA